CUCGUAGGCGGUUCGUCGCGUCCGGUGUGAAAGUCCAUCGCUUAACGGUGGAUCCGCGCCGGGUACGGGCGGGCUUGAGUGCGGUAGGGGAGACUGGAAUUCCCGGUGUAGCGGUGGAAUGUGUAGAUAUCGGGAAGAACACCAAUGGCGAAGGCAGGUCUCUGGGCCGUCACUGACGCUGAGGAGCGAAAGCGUGGGGAGCGAAACA
rnacentral:rRNA from 1 species